rnacentral:lncRNA from 1 species
UCUUUAUGUUAAUACUUUGUACUAAUAUAACCUACAAUAGUUAUACAAAAUUCCAAAAAAAAAAAAAUACACUAAACCCGGCCCGGCCCGGCCCCCUCAACAUGUAACCCUUACGGUUCAAUUUUUACCCGGAUGAACCCGAACCCGUUAAACCCGUUAAGAACCAACCUGGAACCAGACCGGACCGUAACCCGUACGGGUCCAAAAAAUAGUGGCCCGGCCCACCCGUUUAACACCUUUAGGUUAAAGUGAAUACCUGAAGUCUGUGCAAUUCAUCUGACAUUGAUUUAUAGGCAUUCAAGAGUAGUUCACUUUCUUUCUCCAGAUGCCUGUACCAAAAACAUUAUUCAGAGACCAAAAUAAACACCCAGUCACCCACAUAAAACCAAGAAAAGAAAACAUCUUUCAUACAAGCAGAACAUUAUGAAGAAAGAGGAAAGUAACUCAAAAAUAUAAAUUACUUAAAGGUUUCUCCUGCAUAUUUGGGAUCCAUGAAAAAAAAUUGAUCUUUAGCCACAAAUCCUUAGGGGUCGUAGGAAUUCGCUCAAUUACAGGAGAAUCAAAGCUUCAGACUGAUUCAGCAAUCCCACGAAUUCUAACAGAGAAUGAUAUUUUCGAAAAGAAGAAACGGAUUAUAAUAAAUUCUACCGCCAGCAGAUUAUACCCGAACAAAACAAGGGGGAGAAAUUAAAAAAUAGUCAGAUUAACAGUGGUAAUACAAAAAUAACCGCAAUUUAAAAGAGUAAUUGAAAUUUAACCACUUUUUAGUAAAAUAAACAAAAAUACUGUUCAAAAUCUACAAAAAUAUUCCAGCAUAAAUAUACUGGUCCAACAUAAUAUACUGUAGAUUGGAGCAGUAUAUUAUACUAGAACUUUCUGCAUGUUGGAGUUUCAGCAUAAUAUGUUGGACAGGUGCACCAUCUC